ACCGUGAAGAAAUACACGCAAGAGAAGAAGAAGAAAAAGAAGAAACGAAAGAAAAAAUCAUAAUAUUUCUCUCGUAUCUUUCU
rnacentral:ribozyme from 1 species